CCUACGGGAGACUGCAGUGAGGAAUAUUGGUCAAUGGGCGGGAGCCUGAACCAGCCAAGCCGCGUGAGGGAAGAAGGUACAGCGUAUCGUAAACCUCUUUUGUCAGGGAACAAAGGCGGGGACUAGUCCCCGGAUGCGGGUACCUGAAGAAAAAGCAUCGGCUAACUCCGUGCCAGCAGCCGCGGUAAUACGGAGGAUGCGAGCGUUAUCCGGAUUUAUUGGGUUUAAAGGGUGCGCAGGCGGCCUGUUAAGUCAGCGGUAAAAGCCCGGGGCUCAACCCCGGCGAGCCGUUGAAACUGGCGGGCUGGAGUUGGAGAGAAGUACGCGGAAUGCGCGGUGUAGCGGUGAAAUGCUUAGAUAUCGCGCAGAACCCCGAUUGCGAAGGCAGCGUACCGGCUCCACACUGACGCUGAGGCACGAAAGCGUGGGUAUCGAACAGGAUUAGAUACCCCUGUAGUC
rnacentral:rRNA from 1 species